rnacentral:lncRNA from 1 species
CCCAGGUGGUCCAUAGGGGUGUUUUCCUUACUCGUGAACCCAAUAACCAAUUUUAACAAUUAACUGACCGUCCCCAUACCCCGUCCGGUAAUGGGUGCCAAAUAAUCCAUCACCUUGAUACCCCGUCCGGUACAAGGGUGAAUCAUAUCUCUUAAACCUUUCUGGUAAGGAACUUUGCAGCUCUGUCUGACUGAGGUAACGUUCAUGGCAGGGUUCCUU